GGGGAGUUGGUGAAAGAAUCACGCCCGACUUUCAAUCGGGAGUUGCUAAGUAAUUUUGGUACUCUCUU